rnacentral:rRNA from 1 species
CCUAUCAGAGGGGGAUAACCCGGCGAAAGUCGGACUAAUACCGCAUGAAGCAGGGGCCCCGCAUGGGGAUAUUUGCUAAAGAUUCAUCGCUGAUAGAUAGGCAUGCGUUCCAUUAGGCAGUUGGCGGGGUAACGGCCCACCAAGCCGACGAUGGAUAGGGGUUCUGAGAGGAAGGUCCCCCACAUUGGUACUGAGACACGGACCAAACUCCUACGGGAGGCAGCAGUGAGGAAUAUUGGUCAAUGGCCGAGAGGCUGAACCAGCCAAGUCGCGUGAGGGAUGAAGGUUCUAUGGAUCGUAAACCUCUUUUAUAAGGGAAUAAAGUGCGGGACGUGUCCCGUUUUGUAUGUACCUUAUGAAUAAGGAUCGGCUAACUCCGUGCCAGCAGCCGCGGUAAUACGGAGGAUCCGAGCGUUAUCCGGAUUUAUUGGGUUUAAAGGGUGCGUAGGCGGCCUUUUAAGUCAGCGGUGAAAGUCUGUGGCUCAACCAUAGAAUUGCCGUUGAAACUGGGGGGCUUGAGCAUGUUUGAGGCAGGCGGAAUGCGUGGUGUAGCGGUGAAAUGCAUAGAUAUCACGCAGAACCCCGAUUGCGAAGGCAGCCUGCCAAGCCAUGACUGACGCUGAUGCACGAAAGCGUGGGGAUCAAACAGGAUUAGAUACCCUGGUAGUCCACGCAGUAAACGAUGAUCACUAGCUGUUUGCGAUACACUGUAAGCGGCA